rnacentral:rRNA from 1 species
GACGAACGCUGGCGGCGCGCUUAACACAUGCAAGUCGAGCGAGAACCGGACCUUCGGGUCCGGGGAAAGCGGCGAACGGGUGAGUAACACGUGGGUAACCCACCCUUGGUACUGGGAUAGCCCGGGGAAACCCGGAUUAAUACCGGAUGGCCCAACAGCUCUUCGGGGCGGUUGGAAAAGGUAGCUUCGGCCUCCGACCAAGGACGGGCCCGCGGCGGAUUAGCUUGUUGGUGGGGUAACGGCCCACCAAGGCGACGAUCCGUAGCUGGUCUGAGAGGACGAUCGGCCACACUGGGACUGAGACACGGCCCAGACUCCUACGGGAGGCAGCAGUGGGGAAUCUUGCGCAAUGGGCGAAAGCCUGACGCAGCGACGCCGCGUGGGGGAAGAAGGCUUUCGGGUUGUAAACCCCUUUCAGGAAGGACGAAGCCACUCGGGUGAAUAGCCCAGAGGGUGACGGUACUUCCAGAAGAAGCCCCGGCUAACUACGUGCCAGCCGCCGCCGUAA